GACGAACGCUGGCGGCGUGCUUAACACAUGCAAGUCGAACGAAGUGGCGAACGGGUGAGUAACGCGUAAUCAACCUGCCCUUCAGAGGGGGAUAACAGGUGGAAACGACUGCUAAUAACGCAUACUGAAGGAGGGGAUGGCGGGUGAUUAGCUAGUUGGAGGGGUAACGGCCCACAAAGGCUAUGAGCGGUAGCCGGUCUGAGAGGAUGAACGGCCACAUUGGGACUGAGACACGUCCCAGACUCCUACGGGAGGCAGCAGUGGGGAAUCUUCCGCAAUGGACGAAAGUCUGACGGAGCAACGCCGCGUGAGUGAUGACGGCCUUCGGGUUGUAAAGCUCUGUUAAUCGGGACGCGGUACCGGAAUAGAAAGCCACGGCUAACUACGUGCCAGCAGCCGCGGUAAUUC
rnacentral:rRNA from 1 species